UCCCCGGUAGCUCAGUUGGUAGAGCAGACGGCUGUUAACCGUCCCGCCGCAGGUUCGAGUCCUGCCCGGGGAG
rnacentral:tRNA from 1 species